ensembl:lncRNA
CAACAGCAUCAGCUUGACAGCUGUGUGUGUGAGCCAUCUUAAAAUGGAAUCUUCCAGCCCCAGGUUGAGCUGCCCUUGCAGCCAUCACAUGGAACAGAGUUGUUCUGCAGGACCUAAGACCCCUACCAAGGCAGAGGAUUGUGAUUACCUUUUGAGCACAAGAAGUAGACCCCAGACUGGUGGAACCAGAAAGCUGAUGAUCCAGAUUCCUGAAAACAUCUGUUACCACCAACCAAUCAGAAGAAAGUCAUGUACCCUGCAGCUCUCACCCUAAAUGUUGCCUUUAAUAAUCUUCCCCUGAAAACCAUGAAGUUCAGGUUCUUUGAGGACGGUGGUGGUGGUUUAGUCCCUAAGUGGUGUCCGACUCUUGGUGACCCCAUGGACUGUAGCCUGCCAGGCUUCUCUGUCCAUGGGAUUUUCCAGCAAGAAUACUGGAGUGGGUUGCCAUUUCCUUCUCUAGGCUUUGAGCAUGAGGUUCCUGUUUUCUUUGGGUGGCUUCUGCAAUAAACGCUGUACUUUCCUUUACCAUAACUCAGUGUUAUAAAUUGCCCCUACUGUGUGGUAGGUGAGUAGCCCCAAGUUCAGUUCAGUAACACAUGUACAAGUGUUAUAAUGCCUAUUGCCAGAACUCUAAACUCAUGGACAUUAUAAAAGGUGAUUUUGAUAUAUGAAAACAGCUUAAAGUCCUAAAUUUUAAAAUUCCAUGUAAAGUGUUAUCAUCAAUUAUAC